rnacentral:rRNA from 1 species
UCUGGGAUGACUUCGAACUGAUAGUGCAGAAUGCCGGCGAGCGGCGGACGGCUGAGUAACGCGUGGGAAUUUGCCCCAAAGUGAGGGAUAACUGCCCGAAAGGGUAGCUAAUACCGCAUACGGUCUUCGGAUUAAAGGAUUUAUCCGCUUUGGGAGAAGCCCGCGUUGGAUUAGGUAGUUGGUAGGGUAAUGGCCUACCAAGCCGACGAUCCAUAGCUGGUCUGAGAGGAUGAUCAGCCAGACUGGAACUGAGACACGGUCCAGACUCCUACGGGAGGCAGCAGUGAGGAAUCUUCCACAAUGGGCGAAAGCCUGAUGGAGCAACGCCGCGUGAAGGAUGAAGGCCUUCGGGUUGUAAACUUCUUUUAUGAGUGAAGAAUAUGACGGUAACUCAUGAAUAAGCACCGGCUACCUACGUGCCAGCAGCCGCGGUCAUACGUAGGGUGCAAGCAUUAUCCCGAGUGACUGGGCGUAAAAGAGUUGCGGUAGCCGGUUAAUAAGUGAAUAGUGAAACCUGGUGGCUCAACCCUACAGACUAUUAUUCAAACUGUUAAACUCGAGAGUGGUAGAGGUAACUGGAAUUUCUUGUGUAGGAGUGAAAUCCGUAGAUAUAAGAAGGAACACCAAUGGCGUAGGCAGGUUACUGGACCAUUUCUGACGCUAAGGCACGAAAGCGUGGGGAGCGAACGGGAUUAGAUACCCCGGUAGUCCACGCCGUAAACGAUGGAUACUAGCUGUUGGAGGUAUCGACCCCUUCAGUAGCGAAGCUAACGCGUUAAGUAUCCCGCCUGUGGAGUACGGCCGCAAGGCUAAAACAUAAAGGAAUUGACGGGGACCCGCACAAGCGGUGGAUUAUGUUCUUUAAUUCGAUGAUAACCGAAGAACCUUACCAGGGCUUGACAUCCAGGGAAGGACUACGAAAGUAGUUUGUGCCUUUUGGAACCCUGUGACAGGUGAUGCAUGGCCGUCGUCAGCUCGUGUCGUGAGAUGUUAGGUUAAGUCCUUCAACGAGCGCAACCCUUAUUGUCAGUUGUAUUUUUCUGGCAAGACUGCCCCGGUAACGGGGAGGAAGGAGGGGAUGAUGUCAGGUCAGUAUUUCCCUUACGUCCUGGGCUAGAAACGUAAUACAAUGGCUAGUACAAUGCGCAGCGAAGCCGCGAGGUGAAGCAAAUCGCAUCAAAGCUAGUCCCAGUUCGGAUUGCAGGCUGAAACUCGCCUGCAUGAAGUCGGAAUCGCUAGUAAUCGCAAAUCAGCAAGUUGCGGUGAAUACGCUCCCGGGUCU